UGCAGGUAACUAUGCCAUGUGACUACAUACUGGCCAAUAGGAUGUGGGUGUUAGUGAUGUGGUCCACUUCUAAAUCGUGCCCUCAAAGGCCUAAGCAGUUCUGGGCAGGGGGACAGCCUCUCUGUCUCAGUGUCUCCGGAAAGUAACUCCCAGACCCCUGCCGAGGGGGCGGGGCAGUCACCUGGCUACAUCGGCGGGCAGAGGGGAUCGAGAACCUUCCACCAGCCUCCAGUCGAGGUUCCUGUGCUCAUCCCCUCCUGUUCCUUCACCCUCAGGAGCAUCUGGCACCACCAUGAAAUUUUUUAAAAUGGCAGCCACCCCUCAUGGCCACCAGCCAGUCAUCCUUUCCUGUCCUGGCGACCGAGCUCGUGUCCAGAAACUGCAGAGGCUCCAGUGGGAAUCACCGUGCGGAAGGUGGGAGGCUGGCCACACGGGCCCUGCCUCUGGUGGCACGGACUCAGGCCAGAUCCCGAAGCAGGAGAUGGCAGGCCCCGUGGAGAUUCCGGGGAGGCCGGGCUGCAUCCCACCUCAUGCAGCCGGCAUCCCGACAACUCCUGUCUCCGCAGGAACCUCAGCUGGAGCCUCAGGGCGGGGGUAGCCGGCCAGGACUGCGGCCAGCAAGGCCCUCGCUCUGCGGCCCAUCCAGGCUUCCGGCGGUGGUGACAGGUAAAGGGGGCCCUGGGUGGACACGCCCCUGGGGGGCCUCGGCCUCCAGCAGUUUCAGGCCAGGGUCCACCCCCAGGUGGACGAGGACCUGAGGUGCCCGGGGCCCUGUCUGGCGUCUUUGAUUCAAGGACAAUGUCUGUGAGCUUCACUCAGGCUGUUGGGUGUAUCCAUGCUUCAUUCUUUUUCAUUACUUUAGCUUGUACCUUCUAUCCAUCUAUCUGUCUGUCAUCUAAUUUAUCACAAUUUAUUUAUCCACCUGCUGUUGAAGAACACUUGAGCCAUUUCCAGUAAUGAAUAAAGCCGCCAUGAACGUUCUUGAACGUGACUUUUGGUGGACAUGUGAACCCAGCUCUCCAGGGU
ensembl:lncRNA